GUACUCUUCAUCAUACGGUUGCCGUGUUUUGCCUUCUUCGUAUAUUUCAUCGUCGUGUGGCAUCUCGUGCAUUUCAUCAUAUAUUUCGCGGACUUCAUCGUAAGAUACUUCGCUCAUGUUAACAGGCAUUUCGCUACGAGUCUCUUCGCAUACCUCAUCACGUGCUUUGCUAAUGACCAGAUACAAUUCCUCUUUCCUAAAUAUUACACUAUCAAUUACGAGACGCUUCGAAUCAUCGAAUGCAAAGGCAAAAUCAACAUGCCUUCGCAAACGCCCGUUCGGCAGGAUGUAUCUUAAAACAAAGGGGGAGAGAGAGAGAGCACGAAUGACGUUCUCCAAACAGUGUAAAGGAUAAUUUUAACACUGCCAGGGGCUUUCGGAGGGAAUCAAUAACAUCCAAUUACGGAAAUACCCGGAGAUUCGUACCUGCAUGUUCUGUAGUUUACUCAUUUGCUGACGGACCAGGCGAACCACCUUACAUUUCGCAUGUUGACAAUUGGCCAGGAAAACCGCGAGACUCGUCGUCUGCUCGUCCUGCUCCAGAUACUGACAACCGACGCAUGAUAAAAUUUGCCGAAGGCGGCUGAAGGUACGGCUGAAUCAUCAUAUUAUAAAAUGAACAGCGCGAUCGUCUUUUACGUCGAAAGUUUAUUAUCUUUAUCCCUUCAAUUUGUUCUUCCUAUUUGUAUUUUUACGCUAUCUUCUGCUAUGAUCUUCUGCAAAUGAUAUAAAAAUGAUAUAAGAA